rnacentral:lncRNA from 1 species
AUGGGGGCUAUUUUGGGGUUUCCCUUCAACAGCCCGAGGAAGGGCAGCGCACUGUCGUGUUCAGGGGGGCUCAGCAUUCACACCGCUGGGGUUCACACCCCAGCAACCAUGCUCGCCAGCUGCUCUGUGGCCAUGGGCAAGUCUCUCACUGCGUCUGUGUCUCCCCCUCUAACCCCGAGGGACGACGGGCACUCAAGAGGGCAGCGAGAGCUCUCCCGCUGGCCUGCCUGUACCCCAACUCCGCCCCACGCCCGCGGGCCUGCGGGCUGGCACCUGCCGCCCCCGGGACGCCGCGGGGGACCCGCUCUGCUGGGGUCCGCGACUCCACAGGAGGCGGCCGGGAGGACGCUCUGGGAACCGGGUCCCCAACUCCGCGGGGUCGGCUCGCACUCCCGCCGCAGCCCAAGCCAGAAGCAGACGGGCGGGCAAACGACCGCGGUCAGCCAAUCUCCGGACCCGCCACGCCACGCCUCCGCUGCGAGGUUCCCGGCUAUUGGCUGCCUGCUCCGCGGGCCGCCUCCGAACCCCGCCUCUCCGAAUCUUCCCGAGGAUUGGCUGCGGGACCCAUGGUCCUCCGCCUACUCCGUCCCAGACUUCACCCGGAUUGGCAGAAGGUCCCGUGACCCGCCUCCUGCCCCGCCCCAGCCACCGCAAGGAUUGGCUGCCGGUGCCGCGGCCGUCUGCCCAGCUCUGCAGAGCUGCUUGCGGGUCUCCGCGCCCAGGGGGUCGUGGGUCUCUUUGUCUUGGGACGUGCGCGGCAGGGCGGGUCCGUGCGGCUGCGGCAGCCGGAGCCGGACCGACCUGGGUCCCGGGACUGCCCCUGCGGCGUCUGAGCACAGGGAUUGGAAGCAACGGUGGAUGCCAUUGAACUCAAGAAACUGGAUUCGAUGGUCUUGCAGAAAUAUUGGGCAUAAGGUGUCCUUGCGGCUGAGCAGGUUUGUAAGACUUACGUCCUCGUCCACAGGUAAUCACGUAUGCAGGCCUUCCAUCCAGGGCCCCUGGAAGGCCUCUGGAGGAAGAACCCUGACUGCUGUCCCCAGCAUCGCCUCUCCAGCUUGA